UACGUAGGGUGCGAGCGUUAAUCGGAAUUACUGGGCGUAAAGCGUGCGCAGGCGGUUUUGUAAGCCAGAUGUGAAAUCCCCGGGCUUAACCUGGGAAUGGCAUUUGGGACUGCAAGGCUCGAGUGCGGCAGAGGAGACUGGAAUUCCUGGUGUAGCAGUGAAAUGCGUAGAUAUCAGGAGGAACACCGGUGGCGAAGGCGGGUCUCUGGGCAGUAACUGACGCUGAGAAGCGAAAGCGUGGGGAGCGAACAGG
rnacentral:rRNA from 1 species